UUGGAGGGCAAGUCUGGUGCCAGCAGCCGCGGUAAUUCCAGCUCCAAUAGCGUAUAUUAAAGUUGUUGCAGUUAAAAAGCUCGUAGUUGAACUUCGGGGUCUACCCAUUGGUCAGGCUUAAUUGUCUGCACUGGUGAGAUGGAUCUCUACCUUCUGAGGAACUUUCAUGCCAUUUAUUUGGUGUGAUGGGAAAUCAGGACUGUUACUUUGAAAAAAUUAGAGUGUUUAAAGCAGACUAUCGUCUGAAUACAUUAGCAUGGAAUAAUGAAAUAGGACGGACUGAUUCUAUUUCGUUGGUUUCUAGGAUCACCGUAAUGACUAAUAGGGAUAGUUGGGGGCAUUAGUAUUCAAUUGUCAGAGGUGAAAUUCUUGGAUUUAUUGAAGACUAACUACUGCGAAAGCAUUUGCCAAGGAUGUUUUCAUUAAUCAAGAACGAAAGUUAGGGGAUCGAAGACGAUCAGAUACCGUCGUAGUCUUAACCAUAAACUAUGCCGACUAGGGAUCGGACGAUGUUAAUUUUUUAAUGACUCGUUCGGCGCCUUACGGGAAAC
rnacentral:rRNA from 1 species